rnacentral:rRNA from 1 species
GACGAACGCUGGCGGUGUGCUUCACACAUGCAAGUCGAACGAGGUAGCAAUACCUAGUGGCGGACGGGUGAGUAACGCGUGGGAAUCUGCCUUUAGAUGGGGGAUAACGGGUCGAAAGACUCGCUAAUACCGCAUAUGACGAAAGUUGAAAGGAGUAAUCCGUCUAAAGAUGAGCCCGCGUCGAUUAGCUAGUUGGUAGAGUAAAAGCCUACCAAGGCGACGAUCGGUAGCUGGUCUGAGAGGAUGAUCAGCCACAAUGGGAACUAGAGACACGGCCCAUACUCCUACGGGAGGCAGCAGUGGGAAUUUACGCAAUGGCGAAAGCCUGACGUAGCGACACCGCGUGAGCGAAGAAGCCCCUUGGGGUGUAAAAGCUCUGUCAGCUGGAACGAAAAAAAUGACGGUACCAGCAGAGGAAGCAUCGGCUAACUACGUGCCAGCAG